GGCUGUUCCAAGUGCAGUCGUCUUUACAACUAAUUGAUCACAAUCAGUUUCAGACUUAUUUAUUCCUUCUCCAAUCCCACUUUUUCACUUGAUUAAACAAAA
rnacentral:Y_RNA from 1 species